rnacentral:snRNA from 1 species
AGGCUCCCAAAGGCACGUG